AGUUUGAUCAUGGCUCAGAGUGAACGCUGGCGGCAGGCCUAACACAUGCAAGUCGAGCGGCAGCGCGGGGGGCGAACCCUGGCGGCGAGCGGCGGACGGGUGAGGAAUACAUCGGAAUCUGCCUUGUUGUGGGGGAUAACGUAGGGAAACUUACGCUAAUACCGCAUGAGACCGUAAGGUGAAAGUGGGGGAUCGCAAGACCUCACGCGACAAGAUGAGCCGAUGUCGGAUUAGCUAGUUGGUGAGGUAAAGGCUCACCAAGGCAACGAUCCGUAGCUGGUCUGAGAGGAUGAUCAGCCACACUGGGACUGAGACACGGCCCAGACUCCUACGGGAGGCAGCAGUGGGGAAUAUUGGACAAUGGGCGCAAGCCUGAUCCAGCCAUGCCGCGUGUGUGAAGAAGGCCUUCGGGUUGUAAAGCACUUUUGUUGGGAAAGAAAUCCUGUCGAUUAAUACUCGGCGGGGAUGACGGUACCCAAAGAAUAAGCACCGGCUAACUUCGUG
rnacentral:rRNA from 1 species